rnacentral:rRNA from 1 species
GAACGGGUGAGUAGCACGUGGGUGAUCUGCCCUGCACUUUGGGAUAAGCCUGGGAAACUGGGUCUAAUACCGAAUAGGACCACGCGCUUCAUGGUGUGUGGUGGAAAGCUUUUGCGGUGUGGGAUGGGCCCGCGGCCUAUCAGCUUGUUGGUGGGGUAAUGGCCUACCAAGGCGACGACGGGUAGCCGGCCUGAGAGGGUGACCGGCCACACUGGGACUGAGAUACGGCCCAGACUCCUACGGGAGGCAGCAGUGGGGAAUAUUGCACAAUGGGCGCAAGCCUGAUGCAGCGACGCCGCGUGAGGGAUGACGGCCUUCGGGUUGUAAACCUCUUUCAAUAGGGACGAAGCGCAAGUGACGGUACCUAUAGAAGAAGCACCGGCCAACUACGUGCCAGCAGCCGCGGUAAUACGUAGGGUGCGAGCGUUGUCCGGAAUUACUGGGCGUAAAGAGCUCGUAGGUGGUUUGUCGCGUUGUUCGUGAAAACUCACAGCUUAACUGUGGGCGUGCGGGCGAUACGGGCAGACUAGAGUACUGCAGGGGAGACUGGAAUUCCUGGUGUAGCGGUGGAAUGCGCAGAUAUCAGGAGGAACACCGGUGGCGAAGGCGGGUCUCUGGGCAGUAACUGACGCUGAGGAGCGAAAGCGUGGGGAGCGAACAGGAUUAGAUACCCUGGUAGUCCACGCCGUAAACGGUGGGUACUAGGUGUGGGUUCCUUCCUUGGGAUCCGUGCCGUAGCUAACGCAUUAAGUACCCCGCCUGGNGAGUACGGCCGCAAGGCUAAAACUCAAAGGAAUUGACGGGGGCCCGCACAAGCGGCGGAGCAUGUGGAUUAAUU